UCCUCAGUAGCUCAAUGGCAGAGCACGCGGCUGUUAACCGCAAGGUUGUUGGUUCGAGUCCAACCUGAGGAG
rnacentral:tRNA from 2 species